rnacentral:rRNA from 1 species
AGUGCAAACGGUGGAUGCCUUAGCAGCUAGAGGCGAUGAAGGACGUAGUAACUUGCGAUAAGCUUCGGGGAGUUGGUAACAAACUUUGAUCCGGAGAUUUCCGAAUGGGAAAACCCAUCUAGAAUAAUCUAGAUAUCUGUAACUGAAUUCAUAGGUUACAGAGGCAAACGCGGAGAAUUGAAACAUCUUAGUAACCGUAGGAAAAGAAAUCAAACGAGAUUCUGUUAGUAGCGGCGAGCGAAAGCGGAACAGCCCUUAAGCUUUUUAUUGGUUAGUGGAAUGGUCUGGAAAGGCCUGUCGUAGAAGGUGAUAACCCUGUACACAAAAACUAAUUUAAAGUGAAAUCGAGUAGGUCGGGACACGAGAAAUCUUGACUGAAUAUGGGGGGACCAUCCUCCAAGGCUAAAUACUCCUAGCUGACCGAUAGUGAACCAGUACCGUGAGGGAAAGGCGAAAAGAACCCCGGCGAGGGGAGUGAAAUAGAACCUGAAACCGUGUGCGUACAAGCAGUAGGAGCCCAUUUAUUGGGUGACUGCGUACCUUUUGUAUAAUGGGUCAGUGAGUUACUUUUAGUGGCAAGCUUAACUUUCUUAGGGAGGCGAAGGGAAACCGAGUCUUAAUAGGGCGUUUAGUCGCUAGGAGUAGACCCGAAACCAGACGAUCUAUCCAUGGCCAGGGUGAAGGUGGGGUAAUACCUACUGGAGGCCCGAACCCACCUAUGUUGAAAAAUGGGGGGAUGAGCUGUGGAUAGGAGUGAAAGGCUAAUCAAGUUCGGAGAUAUCUCGUUCUCCCCGAAAUCUAUUUAGGUAGAGCCUCUCAUAUUACUGUUGGGGGUAGAGCACUGUUUCGGCUAGGGGGUCAUCCCGACUUACCAAACCGAUGCAAACUCCGAAUACCAACAAGUACAGUGAGGGAGACAGACUGCGGGUGCUAACGUCCGUAGUCGAGAGGGAAACAACCCAGAUCGCCAGCUAAGGUCCCAAAGUAUUAUUAAGUGGGAAACGUUGUAGGAAGGCCCAAACAGCUAGGAGGUUGGCUUAGAAGCAGCCAUCCUUUAAAGAAAGCGUAACAGCUCACUAGUCGAGUCGGCCUGCGCGGAAGAUGUAACGGGGCUAAAUAAUACACCGAAGCUGCGAAUGAAUAUUUAUAUUCAUGGUAGGGGAGCGUUCUGUAUGCCACUGAAGGUAAAUCGAGAGGUUUAUUGGAGGUAUCAGAAGUGAGAAUGCUGACAUAAGUAACGAUAAGAGAGGUGAAAAACCUCUCCGCCGAAAACCCAAGGUUUCCUGUCCAACGUUAAUAGGGACAGGGUGAGUCGACCCCUAAGGCGAGGGCGAAAGCCGUAGUCGAUGGGAAAUAGGUUAAUAUUCCUAUACUUCUUGUUACUGCGAUGGAGUGACGGAGAAGGCUAGGCCAGCAAGGCGAUGGUUGUCCUUGUUUAAGGUUGUAGGUUGGGAUUUUAGGAAAAUCCGAAAUUCUAAGACUGAGAACUGAUGACGAUCAUUUCUUUUAGAAAUGAGAAGUGGUUGAUGCCAAGCUUCCAGGAAAAACUUCUAAGCUUCAGGUAAAAAGGAACCGUACCGUAAACCGACACAGGUGGUCAGGUAGAGAAUACUAAGGCGUUUGAGAGAACUCUGGUGAAGGAACUAGGCAAAAUGGUACCGUAACUUCGGGAGAAGGUACGCCCUCAUUAGGUGAAGAGACUUGCUCUCAGAGCGGAAGAGGGUCGAAGAUACCAGGUGGCUGCGACUGUUUACUAAAAACAUAGCACUCUGCUAACACGAAAGUGGACGUAUAGGGUGUGACGCCUGCCCGGUGCCGGAAGGUUAAUUGAUCGGGUUAGCCCUUGUGGCGAAGCUCGUGAUUGAAGCCCCGGUGAACGGCGGCCGUAACUAUAACGGUCCUAAGGUAGCGAAAUUCCUUGUCGGGUAAGUUCCGACCUGCACGAAUGGCGUAACGAUGGCCACACUGUCUCCACCAGAGACUCAGUGAAAUUGAAAUCGCUGUUAAGAUGCAGCGUACCCGCGGCUAGACGGAAAGACCCCGUGCACCUUUACUACAGCUUUACACUGAAUUUUGAAUAUAUUUGUGUAGGAUAGGUGGGAGGCUAUGAAGCGUAAACGCCAGUUUGCGUGGAGCCAACCUUGAAAUACCACCCUGAUAUCUUUGGAGUUCUAACCCAGGUCCGUUAUCCGGAUCGGGAACCGUGUAUGGUGGGUAGUUUGACUGGGGCGGUCUCCUCCUAAAGAGUAACGGAGGAGUACAAAGG